rnacentral:misc_RNA from 1 species
CCCCACGCCGCCGCCAUGUGCUCUCCGCCUCCCUCUCCCGAAGCCUAUCCUCCCCCGUGCCGUGCGCUCUCCGCCUACCUCUCCCGAAGCCUCUCCUCCCUCGUGCGACCUUCGCCUCUCUUUCUACCGCGAAGCCGCUCCGCCUCUCUCUCUCACCAAUCUGUUGCCUGCAUCCAUCGCCGCUCCGUCCGCGCUCUCUCUCUACCUCUCUCUCAAAGUCUCUCCUCUUCUCUCUCAUCGAUCCGUCGAUUUGCUGCCUGCUGGAUUGACGCCGGAGGUGUUCCUCCUCUUCCUCUCCCUCCUCUUCGCCCUUAAACAUGCCGGAUGGGCACGAUUAGGCAGGGCCAGCAC